ACCCACGUUCACAUCCAGGCUCCAGCAGUCACUCGCUGUGUCGCCUUGGGUGAGACACUGAACUUCUGUGUGUCUCAGUGUCCCCAUCUGUCAAAGGGGAAUAGUGAAUGUGCCUGCCUCGUAGUGCUGUGGAGAGGCCGACAGGAGAUCGUGCCCGUGAAGUGCGUCACACGGGCCCGGACACACGGGGGCUGCCCCAUACAUGUAAGCUAUUAUGUGUCCAUUCGGUCAAGACCUGAAUUGUCUCCUAACCUCCAGGCACCGUUCUUAGUGGCCGGUAAACCGUGGUGAGGAAGACGAGAGGCUCCUGUUUCCUGGAGUUUCUGUUCCAGGGCAGGAGAGAGAUCUUAAACACACGAGCAGCAGAUGGACGAAGAUGACAAGGUCUCACUCCUUGUGGAGCCCGGACCUUUCGGCGACCGGCGAGCAGGGUUCUGAGGCUGUCCCAGACGCCGUGGCAGAAAACUGCUUCGUUUGGGAAUGAUUGACCCAGAAAAGGCUGUGCGUAUCCGGUGUAUACAACACGCGUACCACUCGAUGUGCUUGGAGCUGAGACAGCCUCUGACAUCCUCUGGACUCGUGCUGUCUUCUGAGUCCCGAAGGUGAGAGCAGGGCCACGAUGGAGAGAGAAAGCCGUGGAGCAGUGUGUGGCUUCUCACAGGUUCUGCCCUCACCCACACCCUGGGGGCCCCAAGAGUUCCUGAAGAUUAGUUAGCCUCCCUCCCUUUGCCAUGCAGAUGGGGAAACCGAGGCCCAGACAUGCAAGUUAGUGGCAGGGCUAGGCUCAGACCCAGAAUACACGAUUCUUAAUCCAAAACUCAGCCUAUUCAGGCCCAGAACUACGCUUUCUGCCCUGAAGAAGCCCUAAUGCCCAGAUGACCACCCCAGCCCUCCCGCCCUCCACCUGCCCAGGUGAGACCGCCAUUACCUUGUCUAAACAGCUGUCUACAGGCACAGUACAGGAUGAGGGCCAGGCUCACGGACACAGUGAAGAUGGCCACAGCUAGGAUGACCCAGAAAUUGUCCCUCAACCAAUCCAUCGCGAUGGGACCCUGAGAAGAACAGAGACAGAGGAAUAUGAGACGUGAACGGGGCGUCUGGGGGGGGGGGCGUUGUCUACCACGUUUUGGGGAUACCUCUGUUUAGGGGUCAGGCAGGUGAUGGCUUAGACGAACCCUGCCCAUCAGCAACUGGGAGCCCUCAGGCGAGGCCCUUAAUCUCCUCCGAACUCCGUGCGUCCUCAUGUGCGGCACGGGAGUGACCCGUCUGCCACUCCCCAGGGGAGCCACGCGCACGGAGAUCAGAGAUGUACGGAGGAGGCCGACACAUCGCUCUGUCUUCGGUCGUCAAACGGGCAGGGGAGUAACGCCAUUGAAAGCAAUAACUAAUUGCAUCACUUUUAUAUCCAGGGGGCAGCACAGACUUAAACCCCUGCUGUUUUUGGCACGGGGUGGGGGGGGUGGUUAGAAAUAUACCUUGAUGGGUUUCUCCGAGGGAGGCGUGGGUCAGAAGGGGGAAGGUGAAUGCAAAGUUAGUCCGUGGGGAAAAGUAACAGGAAUUUGGGGGCUGGAAGCUGGCCAGCUCGGGAAGCAAGCAGAGAAGUCUGGCAGGAGCAGAUCUUAAGUGUUCUCAAGACAGAAAAGAAUGACGUUGGCUGUGGUGGCGGGCAUUUCGCGAUACAGUGAAACCUUGGAUUGCGAGUACCUUGUUCUGCGAGCAUUCCACAAGAUGAGCUAACGUUUCUAAUACGCUUUAAAAAAUUGUUUUUUAAUGUUUAUUUAUUUUUGAGAGAGAGACAGA